AUUGGCUGCAACUGAGCUUGACCGCAAGUAUUGUACCCGCCUAUACAUUGUUUAUGGGCCCUAGCUGAUGGUGGUCCAUCCUGUCAUGGUGUAUGUAUGGUUCUCUUCAAUGUGCGGUUAUUUGCAGAGAGAUGGGUGGAGCAACAGGAAAAAGGUUCGAGGAAGAGCUGUCCUCAAUCGCGUCUUUGCCCAUAGCCAUGGCCCAUGGGGCAAGAGGCACUCUCUCGAGCCCCGCGUCCACCCUUUCUCUCUCAGCCUCCCUGCCAAUCACGCAACCUUUCUCUCUCAGCCUCCAUGCCGUUGCUCUCCUCCAAAUCUUGGUUUUCUCUCGCAUCGACGUCCCAAUCUCUCCCCAGUCCCCCCUCUCUCUCUCCUUCCACGCGGCGGCGAUGGCCCUCCCCCUUGGCGGCGCGGCCCUCCCCAUCUCCUCUGGCGGUGGCUCGCCCCGAUCUACUGCUCUCCUCCAGCGGCGGCGCGGCCUCCCCCUUGGUGACGGGAUGCGGUUCAUUUUCCUCUCGAUGCGCGUCAUGAUCCCCUUCCUCUACGACACGCCGUCGUGCUACAGGAGAGCUCCACACGACUUAUGCAGGCGACACCGACCUCGACGAGUGGGCAAUGGUGGUCGUGGCCCUCCCUAGGUGCUCGUCUUCGUCGAUGCUCACAAACGCUAUACCGACAGCGUCGGAGCUCUAAGGCAUGGCUAGCUCGUCCGUCCUUGACGAGGGGAUCUAACCGACGGCGGCGAUUACCGCUGUGGGUUGGCGGCAGUGGCGAGUAGGCCUCUCGACGCUUCAGUUUGCUUCAUUCUUUAUGUUAAUCUCUGUCCGUUCUUUUCUCUGCCUCUCCUGGCUUUUGUAUCUCUGUUAGUUCGAUUUGGAAUGAUUGGUGAUUACUCUAGAUUGAUCCUUUUACAAUCUUACACAUUAUUCUAAGUCCCUUUUUCUCCUUCUGCAAGUCAAUCUUCCUUUUUCUUCGCUGAUAGCUGAUAUGUUUACAUAUGUAUAGUUACACUUAUGUUUCACUCACUUGAUUUUAACCAGUUUUGCAAUUUUCAUAACGAAUAUGGUCACUGAAACUGGAUCGCAGAGACAAUAUGGAAACAAAAUCGGUAGAAAUUUUCUUUCAUAUUUCUGGACCGUUAAUGCAGUACGAUUUUAGUUAUUGCAAAAUGCAUCUGCCUCGUCUAUGCAUUCUUAGUUGUUUUUAUAGUUUCUAUCGUUAUGUCUCAAUCAGACAAUUCAUUUUUUUCUCUUAAGUGUUAAUUGUGCUAUAUAUUAGAUUGCAGUGCUCGUCGAUAUGUAUUAAUGUCCAAUCCAGGUUAAUAACUCAAUUAUUGCAAGUAAACUUCUCUUUUGCAGGGCAAUUUCAAACCUCCAAAGCGUUCCAUGGUAUGAUACCCAUUUGCUUUCCCCAAUUUGGAUCUAACAUUCACACUAGAGGAAACGAAACGGUACGUUCGGGACUUCCACGAGAAGCGAUCGCAAGGCGGCUCAAAAAACCCAUCUAGGGUUCCAUCCCCUCGCCGGCGACGCUGCUGGUCCGCUCCGCCUCCGGUGGCCUUAGGGCCUUGGAGGUGUGGCGGACCACGGCCUCUCGCCGGCGGGAGGGUUUUCGUUCUUUGUUAGGUUAUUUUCAGUGUCUUCUUCGGGAUGGUGAGGCGGCGGCUCCAUCUUGAUGUCAGAAUAAGGUCCUCCCCGCUCUAUCCUCGCUCUGGUGGUGCGUCUAGCAUCGGCAGAGGGCGCGUGGAGUCAUGUGCUCGGCGGAUCUCGCGGCAUCCGAUCGGUUUUUGUGUUCGUUGGUGUGGUUUCAGGUCAGUCUCUUCCGAUCUAAAGUUGUCAUCUUGGGCGACGGUUGCUGCUCUGGUGCGCUGGUCCUUUGGGACCUUAGCACGACGACUUCCCGUUUGUCUACUACAACAAGCUCUACUACGACAAGCUUUGCCCGGAUCCGGUGAUGGAGGGGCGAGGACAUCGGUGCGCUCGCGCCAGUGCUUGUAGUCGUCGCUAGGUGGUCGAAAGACCUACUUGUAAUUUUUAUUACAUUUGGGUCAGUUUGUACUGCUAUUGAUGAUUAUUAAUAGAUCGGUGGAAUUUUCGCAAAAAAAAAUGCAGUUUGGAUCUAAUGGAAAUCUUAUCUUGAACAGCAUGGAUUUGCAAGGAACCGGUUUUGGACAAUUGAUGAUAAUCCACCCCCUUCAUCACUCAAUUUUGCAAUUAAAGAUUUUGUGACCUUAUUCUGGCCACACAGGUUUGUGGGCUUAAACCAUGAGUAGGCGGAUUUACCUUUUGAGCACUAGGGUAUUGUCUGCAUGCAUGCCUUUGUCAUUCAGUUGUCUCCUUUUACAUUGCAAAGUGUUAUCAGUUUUCGUCGAUCCUAUCUAUUCCUGAAUAAUGCAACCAUGCUUGCCAAUAAAGGCUACGGCUGUGUAUCACAAACUUAAUCGCCUGCGAUAGUUGAUUAGUUCUUUAUUAGGUGUCUCGUGUGUAUUUUUAUUGUUUUCCUGAAUGAUAGGUGUUGACCGUGUCUGUAGCCUUUGAGUUUGAGGGGGCUGAAUCUAAAUCUUCAGACAUUUAUCAUUUAUAUCAGGUAUCUCUGGCCAGGCUUCACCAUUGGCUGAAUUCAGGGGUCACCAGGUCUAUUUUGCAACCUAUUUUACUGCCAGUGCAAUGAUUAGUUCGUAUGACUCAAGUUUCUUUAAGUUCAAUAUUCCAAUGACCAUGAAAGAGGCGGUAGCAAAAUUUAAGUAAUACACUGAUGCAAUUCACUCAUAGCCCUUGCAAGGACAUGAUUUCUUCAUUUCAGUGAUGGUGUAUUUUUUGAAUUAAACUUGGUUUAAGAAAUCCCUUGUGCUAUAUUUCCUAUAUGUUCAGAGGCAUAGCAUAUGUAGCCUCUGAAGUUGGAAUAUAUGACAAGUCACAAAUGAUUUGUUUUGUGUGUGUUUCUUAGCAAACUGCACGGAUACUUUUUUGUGCAGGUUCAGUGCAACAAGGCUGUACUUCCUCUUUGGAUACUCAAUGUUUUUUUUUCCUGUUUCUUAUCAACUUCUUCCCAGGUGGUUCCAACAGGUGAGGCGACCUUCAUACGUGCAUUGCUGAUCUUACAAAGCUAUUCCCGUGGAGGUGCUCGAGGUUCGACCCGUAGUCAUGCUUUAGCCCAUUCUGAAGAUGCUGCACCGCACUUGCCAAAAAUUAACUCGUGUGCUUGCAUCUCAGAUUGUCCUUUGUACCUCAGUUUGGCUGCACCUCCCUCUUAAUUUAUGUUCCGUUGUCAUGUAAUUAUCAUGUUGUACUGCAUAUAGUUGUACUUCCGUUCCUUUGGACCUACUAAACCUCCCUUGGCCUUA